GGACCUGUGGAUUAGGAUAUAAAUCUAAUUUACCUGGUGCCUUUUCACUGGCUCCCUGUGAUAACCAGCUUCCAAGAUGGCCACCGGUGAUCACUGUCUUCUGGUAUUCAUUCCUUUGUAGAUCCCUCCCACCCUGAGUAUCUUUGACCUUCACAACCAAUAGGAUAUUGCAGAAAUGAUGGUGUGUGACUUCUAAGGUUAGGUUAUAAGACAUUAGGGCUUCUGUCUUGCAUGUUUGGAUCAUGUACGUUGAGGGAAGCCAGCUGCCAUACCAUGACGACACUCAACCAACCCUACGGAGAGGCCUCCUGUUGACAGCUAACACUAACUUGGAAGCCAGCUGUCUUGGAAGUGAAUCCUCCAGCCCCAGUGCAGCCUUCUGAUGACUAUAGCCCAGCUGACAUCUUGACUGCAACUUCAUGAGAUAUCCAAGCCAAAAUACCCAGUGAAGACACUUCCCACAGAAACUACGGAGUUUCGCUCUUGUUGCCCAGGCUGGAGUGCAAUGGCACGAUCUCAGCUCACUCCUGAUCUCAGGUGAUCCACCGGUCUCGGCCUCUCAAAAUUUUGGGAUUACAGGCAUGAGCCACCACACUCGGCUGACAGUGAUCACUUUCUAACAAACUAUUAAUAUAUACAGUCAUGCAUCACUUUGCAACA